GAUGAACGCUGGCGGCGUGCCUAAUACAUGCAAGUCGAACGCAUAGCGGAAGGUGCUUGCACCUUUCAAGUGAGUGGCGAACGGGUGAGUAACACGUGGACAACCUGCCUCAAGGCUGGGGAUAACAUUUGGAAACAGAUGCUAAUACCGAAUAAAACUUAGUGUCGCAUGACACAAAGUUAAAAGGCGCUUCGGCGUCACCUAGAGAUGGAUCCGCGGUGCAUUAGUUAGUUGGUGGGGUAAAGGCCUACCAAGACAAUGAUGCAUAGCCGAGUUGAGAGACUGAUCGGCCACAUUGGGACUGAGACACGGCCCAAACUCCUACGGGAGGCUGCAGUAGGGAAUCUUCCACAAUGGGCGAAAGCCUGAUGGAGCAACGCCGCGUGUGUGAUGAAGGCUUUCGGGUCGUAAAGCACUGUUGUAUGGGAAGAACAGCUAGAAUAGGAAAUGAUUUUAGUUUGACGGUACCAUACCAGAAAGGGACGGCUAAAUACGUG
rnacentral:rRNA from 1 species